rnacentral:rRNA from 1 species
GGCGGACGGGUGAGUAACACGUGGAUAACCUACCUAUAAGACUGGGAUAACUUCGGGAAACCGGAGCUAAUACCGGAUAAUAUUUUGAACCGCAUGGUUCAAAAGUAAAAGACGGUCUUGCUGUCACUUAUAGAUGGAUCCGCGCUGCAUUAGCUAGUUGGUAAGGUAACGGCUUACCAAGGCAACGAUGCAUAGCCGACCUGAGAGGGUGAUCGGCCACACUGGAACUGAGACACGGUCCAG